rnacentral:rRNA from 1 species
GCAUAACGCGAAGAACCUUACCCACCUUUGACAUGUACGGAAUCCUUUAGAGAUAGAGGAGUGCUCGAAAGAGAGCCGUAACACAGGUGCUGCAUGGCUGUCGUCAGCUCGUGUCGUGAGAUGUUGGGUUAAGUCCCGCAACGAGCGCAACCCUUGCCAUUAGUUGCUACAUUUAGUUGAGCACUCUAAUGGGACUGCCGGUGGCAAACCGGAGGAAGGUGGGGAUGACGUCAAGUCCUCAUGGCCCUUAUAGGUGGGGCUACACACGUCAUACAAUGGCUGGUACAAAGGGUUGCCAACCCGCGAGGGGGAGCUAAUCCCAUAAAGCCAGUCGUAGUCCGGAUCGCAGUCUGCAACUCGACUGCGUGAAGUCGGAAUCGCUAGUAAUCGUGGAUCAGAAUGUCACGGUGAAUACGUUCCCGGGUCUUGUACACACCG